rnacentral:rRNA from 1 species
GACAGAGGAUGCAAGCGUUAUCCGGAAUGAUUGGGCGUAAAGCGUCUGUAGGUGGCUUUUUAAGUCCGCCGUCAAAUCCCAGGGCUCAACCCUGGACAGGCGGUGGAAACUACCAAGCUGGAGUACGGUAGGGGGCAGAGGGAAUUUCCGGUGGAGCGGUGAAAUGCGUAGAGAUCGGAAAGAACACCAAGCGGAAGAACGCACUUUCAUCU